GUAGGCAGCUAGCUCUCUGCAACACUCACAUGGUCGCCCGCUAAGCAGGGCUGCGCCCAGUCAGUACCUGGAUGGGAGACAACAUGGGAAAACUAGGUUGCUGCCAGCA
rnacentral:rRNA from 1 species